AGUCCUGUAGCUCAGUGAUUAGAGCACUCGCCUCGUGAGCGAGAGACCUGGGUUCGAUUCCCAGCAGGGCGA